AGUGAACGCUGGCGGCGUGCCUAAUACAUGCAAGUCGAACGCGAAAGUCCUUCGGGAUGAGUAAAGUGGCGCACGGGUGAGUAAUACAUGGGAGCAUGCCCUUGGAUGGGGAAUAACAUUUGGAAACGAACGCUAAUACCGCCUAAUCUCGCGAGAGUAAAGGUGGCGCCGCAAGGGCUACCGUCCAAGGAUUGGCCCAUGUCCCAUUAGCUAGUUGGCGGGGUAAUGGCCCACCAAGGCAACGAUGGGUAACUGGUCUGAGAGGAUGAUCAGGCACACUGGAACUGAGACACGGUCCAGACUCCUACGGGAGGCAGCAGUAGGGAAUAUUGCACAAUGGGGGAAACCCUGAUGCAGCAACGCCGCGUGAGUGAAGAAGGCCCUUGGGUUGUAAAGCUCUUUAGCGUGGGAAGAAGGUAGAUACGGUGAAUAAUCGUGUUUGCUGACGGUACCACGAGAAUAAGCACCGGCUAAUUUCGUGCCAGCCGCCGCAGUAA
rnacentral:rRNA from 1 species